rnacentral:lncRNA from 1 species
AUAUAAGUUCCAGGAGUUUAGGAACUUAUAAAAUAAGACUAUGUCUUAUUUUACUGUUGUGUCCCAAUGUCAGCACGGUGCUUGGUGCAUAGGAAGGGUUUCAUGAUAUUUACUGAAUGAAUUGAUGAAUUAAUGGUUUCUGCCCACAGAACCUCCACUAUCCAAAAAUAUUGGAAAGAAAUAUUUCUAAAGAGCUAGAUAAUCUAGGACAGGAAUGCAAGUAAGUUUUCCAAAGAAGUCCUACCUGCUCCUCAUCCACCUGUCAGCUCCUACUAUAUCCCACAAAUCAAUCCUGAGCACCCAUUUUGGGACCCUUGGAGCUGAGGGUACCUCCACAAAAUUCAAAAACAAAACCCCAAACCUUGGCCCCUUCCCUUAAGGACAUAGUGCUUUGGUAAGGAAGACAUAUCAGGAAACAAACAGAUACAACUCAGUCUGACAAGUGCCACCAGAGAUAAGAACAGAGGACCUGGGCCUGUCCGAGAGAGCUGAGAAGGUCUCCUGGAAGAGGGAUUUCCAAAGUGAGCUCUAGGAGUGGUAUGGAUUAGCCAGCAAAUGUAGGGGGAAGCAAAGAGGAGGAGGAGAUUUUAUCAAGAGGUAUGGGUACAUGCUAGAGUCUAGAAGUGAGAGGCUGUGUGGCCUCUGUAGGGAAAGGAGAGAGAUCCAGGGUGGCCAGUGAGAUGGGGAGAUCCUGGGAGGGCCUGGGAAGGCAAGCAGGAGGCCCUGGAGGACGGUGUGGAGAGCCACCGAGCGGGCUGUGAGCAGAAAAGCGAAAGAAUGGAAGCUGCGAGUUAGACAAUUCCUUAAGUACUCAGGAAUGGAUGCGCAGCACACAGCUGCUCAGCAGAGAGCGAGUGGCCCUCCCUCCAUCCUUAUGGAGGGUAGGACAGUAUGGAGCUGCUUGGGGAAGAGACCUGAGGGGAGAUGGGUCGUGCAGGGUGCCCAACCUGCCUCAGUGGCUCUGGGUAGACAGAUAAUCCAUUGCUUUCUGCUUUGAGACAUCACCCCCCAAAGGUGGCAGGAGACUGGAGAUGUCAGUCCCGUGGGCAGUGUGAGAGGGGCCUCCGUACGUACUCCAUACUCUCCACAGGGGAGAGGGUGAAGGGCAGUGCCAGGAGAGGAGGAAGCACAGAGUGGUGCUGGGCCCAGAAUCUCGGGAGCCAUCGUAGCUAUUUAGAGUCAGCUGCCUCUGUCCGUUCUAAGCACCUCCAGGAACCACUGUCACUGGUCCCUGUCCUGCUCAGCCCUGGGCACAAUGUAGAGGCCCAAGAAGUGUUGCUCCUGGGCAGAGGAAGAGAAGCACAUUCAUGCAGGCUCAGAAUCCAGAUAACUCCCCUUCUGUCAGGAGAGACUCUCUACUGAAGAUGAAAAGCAAGACUCUUUCCCCUCCUUCCAUAUCCUACAGUUCAAAAAGGCCACCAUGGCCAAAGGCAUCCUCCUACCAGCUCAGAGAACAGAAGUGGCGAAAACGCUGCUGCCAUGUAUGAUGUGGGCCCUGGAGACAUCUGGUGACCCCAUGCGAGGAAAAGCAGAGACACUUCCAAAGAGAGGCUGGUAACCUAGGGUCCUGCAGAAGCAAGACCCCGUCAGAGAUGAGGAAGGCCCAAGGUCUAGCCAGAGAUCAGUCACCAACCUCUCAUGGAGCUUUGGAAAAGUCUUCAAAACUGUCCUUGAUGUUCUUACUUAUAAAAGGAGAACAGGGGUGCCUGGGUGGCUCAGUGGUUGAGCAUCUGCUUUCGGCUUAGAGUAUGAUCCUGGGGUCCUGGGAUCAAGUCCCACAUCGGGCUCCCUGCGAGGAGCCUGCUUCUCCCUCUGCCUAUAUCUCUGCCUCUCUCUCUCAUGAAUAAAUAAAUAAUAUCUUUAAAAAAAAAAAAGAAAAAGGAGGACAGGACUACAUGGUCACUUGUUUCCUGCCAGUGCUUGGAUCCAGUGGGGAGGAGGCUGUGUGGACGCCCCCAGGCCACUGAGUGAUAUCCCUCUGCUUUCCUAGUCGAUGCUGACAGUCUCUUCGGACGGCUUCCCAGUCUGAUGGCACACCUGGAUGGAAUACCAAGGCUGGGUCCAGGAUCACAUCCAUCAGACUGCUGGGGAAAAAGUUAGGAGAGGGGCAUGGAAGCAAGCUGUUGACAAAAUACAAAAAGAAAGGGACUCGGUGGGCCUGGUCCCUGAGCUGAGAGGGCUGGCUCUGGGGGGCAGCUGGGAUCUGGAGCCCCAAGAGUUUACAAGCAGCCCGGGAUUUGAAUAUUCUCCCCAGGGGAACAGCCCAGGGGAACUCGUCUUGGGUCCAGUCCUGCAAGUCAGCCUCAGGACUGGCCUUAAUCCCAGUCGUGUGGAGUCAGGAAUCUGGUAGAUCAGCACCGAGGAGGGAGGGCCAGAGAGAGAGCAGCAGCUUCCCUUCAAGACCUACUCAGAUCUGGAAGGAGGAAGGAAGACUGGAAAGGGAGGAGGAGUGCUUUCCAGCUGGAGCACCAGCUGACCAGCCACACCAGGAGAUCUCAAUUCAGCUAACCUGCAGUAAGGGCCUGCCCCCAUCAGGCUAUCUUCUAGACCCCACUCUGAUGAGCGACAUGGUGAAUCUCUGACAUGCUGCACUGUACACAGGGAGCAAGGCCACGAAGAGCCUGCUCCAUCGCUCCCCACAGGGCAGCAGAGGGAUCAGCUGGCCCUACAUGGGGAGGGAGGCAGGAGACCUCUAGGAGGGUUCCCUAUCCCCUCUGCCAGGGAGGGGCCCCCUUCCAGAGGACAGUCCAAGACAGGAUACAAAGCCUGCCCCGCCACCUGGUGGAGAGCAGAGGAAGGUACUGGAGAGGAGGCUCCCACAGGUAGUGCCCUGCCACCUGGUGGAAAGCAGGGGUGGAGGAUUCUGGAGCUCACAUAGGAUCCGUCCCUGUUGCUGACCGCGGGGACUCACUCAGCCCCUUGGCUGCUGGCUGUCCAAGGCUAGAAGAUGAAGGAUGUACAAAAUGUAUUCUCAUAGGUCAAUAGAAGACUAACAGGUAAAAUUUAAGGGGAAGCAGAUUCUAUCUCAAGAGAAGGAAUAUUCCUAGUAAUUAGAGUUGACCCCCCUGGCAGUCUUCAAAAAGAGUGAGCUUUCAGGCAGUAGGUGUGUUCAAGCAAGGCAGAAUCACUAGUUGGCAGAGAAGCUAGAAGGCCAUUUUUUCUGUACAGGGAUCUUACUGUCCCUUCCAAAGCUGAUAUGUCACAACAGCUUUUCUUCUCUUCCUAUCUUUCUUUAUAAACAUUUAUUGAAUCUGCCCUAGGCUAGAUAAUGGAGAUUGCAAAAGUAAGACAUUACACUUGCCCUGAAAGAUUUUAGAGUUUAGAGGGGGUAGUGAGCCUCGAGGCCCACCCCAGAUAAUAUAUGAUGGCCGUUGGCUUAGACUACCUUUGCCUUUCAAAGAGGAAGGGCAAGGGAAAUACAUUCCCUUUCUAGCAUUAUUGGAGUAAUUCUCUACCUUCAGUGGACACACAAAUUAUAUUUGUUAAACUGGGUGUUCCAUCGUGAUCUAAAAAUAAUAGUAUAAAUAAUGGCAAUAGAAACAACCAACAUGAUUUCACUCUAUGCCAGGCAUUGUACUUGUCACUUUACAAAUAUGAUUUUUAGGGAUCCCUGGGUGGCGCAGCGGUUUAGCGCCUGCCUUUGGCCCAGGGCACGAUCCUGGAGACCCAGGAUCGAAUCCCACAUUGGGCUCCCAGUGCAUGCAGCCUGCUUCUCCCUCUGCCUGUGUCUCUGCCUCUCUCUCUCUCUGUGUGACUAUCAUAAAUAAAUAAAAAUUAAAAAAAAAAAACAAACAAAUAUGAUUUUUACUUAAUUGUGCUAGCAAAAGUUCAAAGACAAACUUAAUCUUUUAAGUCCCUAAAGUGUUCUACAAAAAAAAAAAAAAAAAAAAAA